GACGAACGCUGGCGGCGUGCUUAACACAUGCAAGUCGAACGGCAAGGCACUGCUUUCGUGGGGUGCCCGAGUGGCGAACGGGUGAGUAACACGUGAGUAACCUGCUCUUGACUUUGGGAUAACUUCAGGAAACUGGGGCUAAUACCGGAUAGGAGAUCAUGCUGCAUGGUGGGGGUUGGAAAGUUUCGGCGGUCGGGGAUGGACUAGCGGGUUAACAGCUUGUUGGUGGGGUAGUGGAUUGCCAAGUCAUUGAAGGGUAGCUGGCAUGUGAGGGGGACCGGGCACAAGGGGACUGAGAUACGGCCCAGACGGCAACGGUAGACAGCGGGGGGAAGUAUUGCACAAUGGGCGGAAGCCUGAUGCAGCAACGUUGCGGUCGGAAUGACGGCCUGCGGGGUGUGAACCGCUGUCGCCUAUGACGAAGCGUUAGUGACGGUAAUGGGUGAAUAAGCACCGGCUAACUACGUG
rnacentral:rRNA from 1 species